AUAAACGACUGAGGGAAGAAGGGGUUUCAUUUAGUCAAGAAGCAAGUCACCACCUGAGAGAGACAGCUGAAGCCAUUAAAGAGCUGGAGUCAUCUAGAAAAAUAGCACGUGAGAAACUUGAAAUAGAAACUAUUGAGACAAGCAAGCUUCGACAUCGAACAAUGAACCUAGAGGAUGACAUCAGAAGUGAAAUAUCAGGUGAGUUCCUCCACAAAUCCUUGGAAAACUAGUUGAAUCCAUGAAGUAUAAGUCUAAAUAUUGGGCCGUCUCUGGCAACAACUCACCUGCAGCAUAAUGGUGGUUUGGAAACUGCUCAGGUAACUUCUUAAAGUUGUUUGUUGUUGUUGUUGAAGCUUGUGUCACUGCAGCUAGAGAAGGCAAUGCUGCAGAGAUGAAUCGACUUCAGUCUGAGCUGAAAACUGUAGUAGAUGACAUACAAUCCAUGGAGGGGAAGCAACAACUCCUUGAACAAGAAAAUGCUGCUCUGAUUCGGGAGAAAGAAAACAUUAAAGGAAACUAUGAAGAUGAUGUUGACAAGAUGAAUCAGCAGCUGUCAAACAAAGCUAGUAUACAGAUGAUGUUAACAGAAAAACAGAAUGAGAUUCAGUCAUUGAAGGACAAAAUUGUCCAGGUGAAAGCAGCCCAACAGGACUUAAAAGAAAACAUGAUUCAGAAGAGUAAAACAUUUGCUGAAAGCAAACAUGCUGUGGAAAUAGAGAUAGAGGAAAUUGCUCUUAAGAUUAAAGAACAAAGAAAAAUCAAUUCAGGAACACGCAAGGAGCUGGAUAUCAUUACAUCAGAACUCCAAGACAAGGAGGAGACAAUCACACAGUGUGAAGAACAUAUAUCCCAGAUGGAGAAAAACAUCGCAAGAAUGGCAGCAUCUAAAAUUAUGUACAAAGAAUGGCUUCAUGAGGAGAAAAGUCAGAAUGAGGACCUUGAACAUCAAAGUAAUCAGUGA
rnacentral:lncRNA from 1 species